ACACUACCAUUGUCAAAAGGUGCAGCACUGCGAAAGCGGUGAUGCUAAAAUGGGAAUCCGGUGAGUGUAAUUUAUGCAAUGCCGGAGCUGCCCCCGCAACUGUAAGCGGUAAGUUGUACAAGCACAAAGCCACUGGGAAUAUCUCCUGGGAAGGCAGUUUGUAACGACGACGAUCCGCGAGCCAGGAGACCUGCCUUUGGACAAGACUUGUA
rnacentral:ncRNA from 2 species